GAGAGUAUAGCUCAGUGGUAGAGAGCAUGCUUAGCAUACACAAGAUCCUGGGUUCAAUCCCCAGUACCUCCU
rnacentral:tRNA from 1 species